AACCCUUUAUUACAGGCAUACUGGCAACACUUCUGUAAUAAAGCCUAAAAUUUAAAGGAGAAUGAAAUAAUUAAGGCAAUUCCUUAAAUAGAUUUGGCUACUAAGUUCACCAGCCUGCAAUAGCUGCAAUGGCAUCCCCUUGGCCCCGCCAUGCCCAGCACAGAGGAAUAAAAUAACUUCAGUGGUAAUUACUAAGUCAAUUUCACAAGGAAGAGAGCUGGAUAUGGAGUUGAUUUUCAUCUGAAAGCCAACCAAAAGGCUUUAGGCCUGAGCAGCUGCCAGCCUGGAGCAAGGGCCUGUGCUCAAGACAGUUCCACGUAGAAUCGGCAGCCAGGGAGCACAGGCUGGCCGGAGAAGGGCACUAAAGGAUACACUGCCAUCUUCAAUCAGGAACACCUCUCUGCCCAUGGCCCCGAGAGGACCCUGGGAGCACUGUGAUGUCAGCCAUUCAAUGGCUAGAAGUCUGUGGAGAUAACUGAGAAAGCAAUGAAGCAAUAACACAGAAUUGAGGAUGGCAGUUACCUGGGGACAAAACAUACUGAGGAAAGCCACACUUUCGUCUAGACAAAAUACAGAAAAUACUGUACCUACUUACUAAACCUAA